UACGUAGGGUGCAAGCGUUGUCCGGAAUUAUUGGGCGUAAAGAGCUCGUAGGCGGUCUGUUGCGUCGGCUGUGAAAGCCCGGGGCUCAACUCCGGGCCUGCAGCCGAUACGGGCAGACUAGAGUUCGGCAGGGGAGACUGGAAUUCCUGGUGUAGCGGUGAAAUGCGCAGAUAUCAGGAGGAACACCGGUGGCGAAGGCGGGUCUCUGGGCCGAUACUGACGCUGAGGAGCGAAAGCGUGGGGAGCGAACAGG
rnacentral:rRNA from 1 species